GUGGGAUUGGACACUGGGUAAUGUAAGCCGGUCCAUCAGCCCAACCGGUUCGAAGCUGCCGAAUUCCAUGCCUGACCAGAGAAAGAAAAUUUCUGGUAAAGAGGAAAUGGAAGGGAAAGUGCAGAGUUUCAUGGAAGGUCAGCUUCAGAUUAGUAACCCAACUACUAAUGGUUUCCUUACUGAAAGCUUAAGAUUAAACCAACGGUGGGUAAGUACAUUCUCUCUCUCUCUUCUUCUGUCUCUCUCUAAUAAGUGGAAAAAAAUGGUAAUUUGAGUUAUGGACUAUGGAAUUUGGAGUUUGAAUUGGUCAGCAGUAGGUCUCCAUCAAGUUUUCUUGUUCAGGAAGAUCCAACCCAUUGAAGUUUGGAACUUAUUUUUUACUCUUUUUUUUUUUAAAUGUUAUAUGUGUAUCGUAUUGUAUUACUGUUAUUCUGGAUAAUUUUAAGCUUUAAAUAAU